UACGAAGGGGGCUAGCGUUGCUCGGAAUCACUGGGCGUAAAGGGUGCGUAGGCGGGUUUUUAAGUCAGGGGUGAAAUCCUGGAGCUCAACUCCAGAACUGCCUUCGAUACUGGCGAUCUUGAGUCCGGAAGAGGUGAGUGGAACUCCUAGUGUAGAGGUGGAAUUCGUAGAUAUUAGGAAGAACACCAGUGGCGAAGGCGGCUCACUGGUCCGGUACUGACGCUGAGGUGCGAAAGCGUGGGGAGCAAACAGGG
rnacentral:rRNA from 1 species